rnacentral:rRNA from 1 species
AGACAAACUCCGAAUGCCAAUUAAUUUAACUUGGGAGUCAGAACAUGGGUGAUAAGGUCCGUGUUCGAAAGGGAAACAGCCCAGACCACCAGCUAAGGUCCCAAAAUAUAUGUUAAGUGGAAAAGGAUGUGGCGUUGCCCAGACAACUAGGAUGUUGGCUUAGAAGCAGCCAUCAUUUAAAGAGUGCGUAAUAGCUCACUAGUCGAGUGACACUGCGCCGAAAAUGUACCGGGGCUAAACAUAUUACCGAAGCUGUGGAUUGUCCUUUGGACAAUGGUAGGAGAGCGUUCUAAGGGCGUUGAAGCAUGAUCGUAAGGACAUGUGGAGCGCUUAGAAGUGAGAAUGCCGGUGUGAGUAGCGAAAGACGGGUGAGAAUCCCGUCCACCGAUUGACUAAGGUUUCCAGAGGAAGGCUCGUCCGCUCUGGGUUAGUCGGGUCCUAAGCUGAGGCCGACAGGCGUAGGCGAUGGAUAACAGGUUGAUAUUCCUGUACCACCUAUAAUCGUUUUAAUCGAUGGGGGGACGCAGUAGGAUAGGCGAAGCGUGCGAUUGGAUUGCACGUCUAAGCAGUAAGGCUGAGUAUUAGGCAAAUCCGGUACUCGUUAAGGCUGAGCUGUGAUGGGGAGAAGACAUUGUGUCUUCGAGUCGUUGAUUUCACACUGCCGAGAAAAGCCUCUAGAUAGAAAAUAGGUGCCCGUACCGCAAACCGACACAGGUAGUCAAGAUGAGAAUUCUAAGGUGAGCGAGCGAACUCUCGUUAAGGAACUCGGCAAAAUGACCCCGUAACUUCGGGAGAAGGGGUGCUCUUUAGGGUUAACGCCCAGAAGAGCCGCAGUGAAUAGGCCCAAGCGACUGUUUAUCAAAAACACAGGUCUCUGCUAAACCGUAAGGUGAUGUAUAGGGGCUGACGCCUGCCCGGUGCUGGAAGGUUAAGAGGAGUGGUUAGCUUCUGCGAAGCUACGAAUCGAAGCCCCAGUAAACGGCGGCCGUAACUAUAACGGUCCUAAGGUAGCGAAAUUCCUUGUCGGGUAAGUUCCGACCCGCACGAAAGGCGUAACGAUUUGGGCACUGUCUCAACGAGAGACUCGGUGAAAUCAUAGUACCUGUGAAGAUGCAGGUUACCCGCGACAGGACGGAAAGACCCCGUGGAGCUUUACUGUAGCCUGAUAUUGAAAUUCGGCACAGCUUGUACAGGAUAGGUAGGAGCCUUUGAAACGUGAGCGCUAGCUUACGUGGAGGCGCUGGUGGGAUACUACCCUAGCUGUGUUGGCUUUCUAACCCGCACCACUUAUCGUGGUGGGAGACAGUGUCAGGCGGGCAGUUUGACUGGGGCGGUCGCCUCCUAAAAGGUAACGGAGGCGCUCAAAGGUUCCCUCAGAAUGGUUGGAAAUCAUUCAUAGAGUGUAAAGGCAUAAGGGAGCUUGACUGCGAGACCUACAAGUCGAGCAGGGUCGAAAGACGGACUUAGUGAUCCGGUGGUUCCGCAUGGAAGGGCCAUCGCUCAACGGAUAAAAGCUACCCCGGGGAUAACAGGCUUAUCUCCCCCAAGAGUUCACAUCGACGGGGAGGUUUGGCACCUCGAUGUCGGCUCAUCGCAUCCUGGGGCUGUAGUCGGUCCCAAGGGUUGGGCUGUUCGCCCAUUAAAGCGGUACGCGAGCUGGGUUCAGAACGUCGUGAGACAGUUCGGUCCCUAUCCGUCGUGGGCGUAGGAAAUUUGAGAGGAGCUGUCCUUAGUACGAGAGGACCGGGAUGGACAUACCUCUGGUGUACCAGUUGUCGUGCCAACGGCAUAGCUGGGUAGCUAUGUGUGGACGGGAUAAGUGCUGAAAGCAUCUAAGCAUGAAGCCCCCCUCAAGAUGAGAUUUCCCAACUUCGGUUAUAAGAUCCCUCAAAGAUGAUGAGGUUAAUAGGUUCGAGGUGGAAGCAUGGUGACAUGUGGAGCUGACGAAUACUAAUCGAUCGAAGACUUAAUCAA